GUCAGUGGCGUCACUCCAGUAGUGAGAUAUCGCGGGGGAUGGCAGGUAGACGUGUGACGAAUAGCGGAUCCAUUUCUUGUCACAUUAAGUUUUUAUCGCGGUACGAGAUCCGCAGGAAGCUCGAUUUCGACAAUCGUGCGACAAGAAGCUGCCAAGAUAUGCGUAUUUCGGCGAACGACAGGCAAGCAGUCGAUGGGUUAACGGACGGCGGCGGGACAGAAAACUACGCAACGCAAUUCGACAUGCGUGGUCCGUGCGAACUCCGAUCUCGCCGCGUGUAUCUCGAUCUAUACUAGUCGAUUGUUUACGUGCAGUACGUGUCGCGUAGUAAGGUGACGAUCGUCCUAAGACGUAUGUGUUGACUUUUCGCCGGGUACCGUGCGGCGACGGACGCGGGGGCGUCAGUGUGUCUUGUGUACGGUCGACGAGCCUCUCUCGCCAGUCUCGCCAGUCUCGCCAGUCUCGUCUCGUCGCGUGCCCCGUGCCCCGUGCCCCGUGCCCUGUGCCCUGUGCCGUUCGUACGCGUACUUCUUCGUGUAACGUCAUCGUCCUGUCGCGAGUGAAGCUCUAGCUUUGUACGUAUGUCCGAGUUUUCAUGAGUAACCUACAGUGAGACGAACGUUCGGACGAGACAGCGAAAUCGUUCGAAGACGCGCGCGCUCUUGUUGCGGGAUGAAAGUUAAUUCACCUCGCGCGAAUCACCGUAAACUUCGUUCGAUCAACGCAUCGCGUUUCAGCUCGUGUAUAUGUACUAUCAUCGAUGUCGAACAGCUUUCUUUGUACGCGCAGCUACUUCCGAGUUUUCGACAAUGUGCGACAGUGAAAUAAACGUUUCGCCGCAAUAUCGAUCUACGCAUUCUGAAUCAUAACCUCGCGCCAUCGUGUGUCACUUCCGCUGCAUUGUGAUGUCGCUUCGCCGGAUGAUUCCUGUUAACAAAGUGUCGCGUGUUGAUUCGAUAAUUAGCGCGCGAUCGUAAUUAAUCUCUUGUUGCGAGUGUUGUGUUGUGUUGUGCAUCAAAAAACGGAAUCUGAGAGGAGGCGGAGACCCGGGGGGUAUCGGGCAACGGCGGAGCAACCCUGUGGUGUCAACGUGGUCUUGUAUACAACUCCGCUGCUGCGCGUCGUGUCGAAAAAUGAUUUGGACUGUUCCUGAAAUCGGUCAGAGACUCGUGCAUGAAGGAUGCACCUAAGGAUGCACCAACCGGAACGAGCACCCGACACACGUUCGCGCGCAGAUACAACCGACUUCCCUUCCCCUUGGCAAAAAAGGUUAAACCCGCCAGCAUCGUUUUUGAGUUAUUAACAAAAGGCCGCGGAUUGAAACGUUAAAUAGCUUAUUCGCGCGCGUAUGAUAAUGUUUUGAUUUUUUCGUCGUAACAAUUAAGUAAUGUAAUUAAUCAGUGUUUUCGCGAGUGAGUGUCAUGCCACGGAAGAACGAGAGGAGGAGGAGGCCUGGCAGAGGCAUCGAGCCCCAGCGGAGCAACUUUGGGUAUCAUCGUAGCUUCGUGGCUGAGUAACUCCGCUCGUUGCGCAUCGGAUCGGUGAGUCACAAAUCAAUUUUCUUAUUAUAUUUUAAUGCUUUGAAAUGUGAUCCUGUGCAGGAUCAAAGCAUAAUAUUAUCGCACGAUCCGUAUUUUUGUGAGUGAAAUUUUAAAAAAAUUACACUGCUAGCUCCCCAAUACGCAUAGUCAAAAUACGAUCUCCGCGAUAAUAGCCGCUCACGAAGUUAUUAAUUUUUAAUGAACUAAUAUUUAAAAUAAAAUAGAAUGUGAAAAGAGAUAUUGGGUUUGAAGAAUAAAUGUAUUAAAUUUUUUUUGUGAGAUUGCCACGAAUUAACAAUGAGAUAAGAUAAAAACAAACAUUCACGCUUUAGAGGGAGGAGAAAGAAAUAAAGAUAUGCUUUUGCAAGUUGGGAAAAAGAAAUUGAGAAGACAUACCGCCAGGUACAAAUGCAGAGGUUUGACUCUGCCAUUUAGGAAAGGAUAUUAACGGUUCGAUUAUGCUUUCUCUCUACCUCCUUUUCCUUCUCGCUCCGUCCCGCAAAUCUGCUGCGCCGUGGGUGGCAGUCAUUCCGCAGCUUCCACACGAUGUGUACAUACGUGUAAUAUACCAUGUAUGUAUGCCACGGUCGACAGUACGUUUACAUUUACAUGUACGUUUCAGAUUUACCGGAUAGUCUUUCAACCACAUAUUAUCUGACCAUUUUCAAGACGACUUUAUCUUAAGGAGAAUUUGAUAGGGAUUGAUUUUUUCACUUUUGACACUAAUUAUCGUAGUGAUCUAACGUUAAAGUGAAUUUUUAUUAAAGAAAAAUACAUACUACGAUGUAAUUGAGAAACAUUUUACGAUACACCUGUGUUGCAGUUUGAUGCAAUUUGGGAUGUAAAUUAAUUAUAUAAUAAUUUGUUUUUCCGUGAAAUUUUAGGACAAAGUUAAUAAGAAUAUGAAAUUUUUUUUUCAUUAAUUUUUAACUAAUUUUCUGUGAUAGAGUGCUUGUUACUGAGGGAUUGUAAAGACCGCUUUAAGUGAUGUUUGCCAUGUAUGACAAUGAUUGUACAAUGUUAAGGACCAGUUUUUCACCAGCGCGACUUUCGCGAUAUCAAGCGCGACUUGUAUUUUAAACAAAAAAUUUCGUACACACCUUAAUUGGACGCUAUCGUUUCUGGACGAUCUUACGGUGGUUAAUGAGCAUCUCGUAUUAAAGGAAAUACAUUACAUUUCAAAUGCAAUACUUCAGCCAGUAAGAUCGAGACUUUGUCUCGAUGAAGCCUUAGCAACACUGUUGGAAUUAAGAAUGAAACAAUUUAUGAUUAUUACUUGAUUGCUAAACUCUGUGCAAAAAUAUUUAUUAAUAAUUAAGAAUUAAAAGAUGUUUAGCUCAAUCAUUGCAAUCGUAAUUAAUAUUGUAAA